rnacentral:rRNA from 1 species
CUACGGGCCGCUGCAGUGAGGAAUAUUGGACAAUGGGGGAAACCCUGAUCCAGCAAUGCCGCGUGAAUGAAGAAGGCCUUCGGGUUGUAAAGUUCUUUCACUCGUGAAGAUUAUGACGGUAGCGAGAGAAGAAGCCCCGGCUAACUCUGUGCCAGCAGCCGCGGUAAGACAGAGGGGGCUAGCGUUGUUCGGAAUGACUGGGCGUAAAGGGUGCGCAGGCGGCUAUUUAAGUAAAGCGUUAAAGCCCCAGGCUUAACCUGGGAAUCGCGUUUUAAACUGGAUAGCUAGAGUGUGGUAGAGGAAAGUGGAAUUCCUAGUGUAGAGGUAAUAUUCGUAGAUAUUAGGAGGAACACCAGAGGCGAAGGCGGCUUUCUGGGCCACAACUGACGCUGAGGCACGAAAGCGUGGGGAGCAAACAGGAUUAGAUACCCCCGUAGUC